CUCCCAAACCCCUGUGAACAUACCACUUGUUGCCUCGGCGGAUCAGCCCGCUCCCGGUAAAACGGGACGGCCCGCCAGAGGACCCCUAAACUCUGUUUCUAUAUGUAACUUCUGAGUAAAACCAUAAAUAAAUCAAAACUUUCAACAACGGAUCUCUUGGUUCUGGCAUCGAUGAAGAACGCAGCAAAAUGCGAUAAGUAAUGUGAAUUGCAGAAUUCAGUGAAUCAUCGAAUCUUUGAACGCACAUUGCGCCCGCCAGUAUUCUGGCGGGCAUGCCUGUUCGAGCGUCAUUUCAACCCUCAAGCACAGCUUGGUGUUGGGACUCGCGUUAAUUCGCGUUCCCCAAAUUGAUUGGCGGUCACGUCGAGCUUCCAUAGCGUAGUAGUAAAACCCUCGUUACUGGUAAUCGUCGCGGCCACGCCGUUAAACCCCAACUUCUGAAUGUUGACCUCGGAUCAGGUAGGAAUACCCGCUGAACUUAAGCAUAUCA
rnacentral:misc_RNA from 1 species